GACGAACGCUGGCGGCGUGCUUAACACAUGCAAGUCGAACGGAAAGGCCCUGCUUUUGUGGGGUGCUCGAGUGGCGAACGGGUGAGUAACACGCGAGUAACCUGCCCUUGACUUUGGGAUAACUUCAGGAAACUGGGGCUAAUACCGGAUAGGAGCUACUGCUGCAUGGUGGGGGUUGGAAAGUUUCGGCUGUUGGGGAUGGACUCGCGGCUUACCAGCUUGUUGGUGGGGUAGUGGCUUACCAAGGCUUUGACGGCUAGCCGGCCUGAGAGGGUGACCGGGCACAAUGGUACUGAGGGACGGCGCAGACUCCUACGGGAGGCAGCAGUGGGGAAUAUGGCGCAAUGGGGGGGAGCCUGAUGCGGCAGCGCCGCGUGCGGGAUGACGGCCUUCGGGUUGUAAACCGCUUUGGACUGUGACGAAGCGUGAGUGACGGUAAUGGGUAAAGAAGCACCGGCUAACUACGUG
rnacentral:rRNA from 1 species